rnacentral:rRNA from 1 species
AKUAAUACAUCGGAACAUGUCCUGUAGUGGGGGAUAGCCCGGCGAAAGCCGGAUUAAUACCGCAUACGAUCUACGGAUGAAAGCGGGGGACCUUCGGGCCUCGCGCUAUAGGGUUGGCCGAUGGCUGAUUAGCUAGUUGGUGGGGUAAAGGCCUACCAAGGCGACGAUCAGUAGCUGGUCUGAGAGGACGACCAGCCACACUGGGACUGAGACACGGCCCAGACUCCUACGGGAGGCAGCAGUGGGGAAUUUUGGACAAUGGGCGAAAGCCUGAUCCAGCAAUGCCGCGUGUGUGAAGAAGGCCUUCGGGUUGUAAAGCACUUUUGUCCGGAAAGAAAUCCUUGGUUCUAAUAUAGCCGGGGGAUGACKKUACCGGAAGAAUAAGCACCGGCUAACUACGUGCCAGCAGCCGCGGUAAUACGUAGGGUGCGAGCGUUAAUCGGAAUUACUGGGCGUAAAGCGUGCGCAGGCGGUUUGCUAAGACCGAUGUGAAAUCCCC